GUCCUGAGUUUCCUUCUGGCUCUUCUGCUGACUUGCUGUGCAGCUUAGAUAAAGUGCUAUAGCGCUCUGUGCUUCCCCUGUUGGCGAAGGAGAGAUUACACCCAUUUCUUUGUGUUGUGAUGGUUAAAUAAGAUAAUGCAAUCAAGUAGUUGGCAUUCAGCUGAUGCUGAAGCUCCAAUACUUUGGCCACCUGAUGAGAAGAGCUGACUCAUUGGAAAAGAAUGAUGCUGGGAAAGAUUGAAGGCAAAAGGAGAAGGGGGUGGCAGAGGAUGCGAUGAUGGUUAAAUAGCAUCAUCGACUCAAUGGACAUGAGUUUGCGCAAACUCUGGCAGAUAAAGACAGGGAAGCCUGGCGUGCUGCAGUUCAUGGAGUCACAAAGAAUCAGAUGUGACUGAAUGACUGAACAACAGCAACAAACCAAAUGGAGGAUUAAAUGAGAUCAGAGGGCCUUCAGGAUCAUUAAACCCUUCACCAAGAGAGCGCAAUGGAAGUGCUGAUUAUGAAAGCUUCUGGAAAUGGCCCAGGAGUGUAGGAGAAUGCGGAGCACAGACAAGGUUGAGAAGGGAGAAAAAAGGACCUGCUGGCCUUGGUACUGGAUCCAAACUAAUGAGAAC
rnacentral:lncRNA from 1 species